GCUGCCAUGAAAAGAAGAACUCUGCAGUUAUGAACAGGAAGAGGCAGUCUGUAAAACUGAAGGUGGAGGAGAGGUCUUUUCACUCCCGUUAACUUUCAGCCUAUACUAAGGGUAGCUAUAUUGGAAAUCAAUACCAAAACCCCCGUAGACUUUGAUGGGAGAACAAUUAGGUCACUGUUGGUUGUCUUUGAAAUCCCACACUGGCUAUGUCUAUUGUUUGCUUGUCUGGCAUUGUCUUGAAAAACCUGCUGGCUUUUUUUCCUUUGUUCUGGGUUGCUUACACAUAUUAACUGCAGUCAUUCUUAUACGAAAGCCUACUUGUAAUGGACUGGAAUAGGCCAACUUUCUUUUAAAUUUUACGUGGCUUGUUUCAUGGCCCUACUGUGCUUCAAAAGACUGGUAGCACUGCAAGGCAUUCAUAUAACACCUCGUGCAGAGUUAAUGAGCAUGGUUACAUGAACCUUACUGUGCUUUCCUGGAAGAUUAUUGUGAAAAGAACAAAGAUAAUAACACUUUGCCAUGAGGAUAUGAAAAAACCCUCCUUUGAAGCACUCCAUCACUCUGUCAAGUGGCCACUUGCACCCGCCUAUGGUAUCCUCACAGGUGCCUCUGGUGAGUAAGAUUUAGACCAAGGCUUGUGGAUCUGCUCACCUGCUGCAAAGUGGAGGGUGGGGACCAGGGCAGGUGCUAAAGGCUGUGCUGCAUCAGCAUGAGUACUCCUGGUGCUGGAAGUUGGGUCAGGGAGAUGAAAGAGUUGAAAACUAUUUUAUUUUGUUAGCUCAGCUCUAUCUGCUUGUUCCCUUGACCACCCUGCAACCAGAUGACCACCGAUAGCAGCGCAGAAGAGGGAGCAGAUGAAAUACAACAGUUUAGUGAUGUAAGGCUGGAAAAAAGCCAUCAUAUGCUGGCAGCACUACGUGGGGCGCGGAUUUGUGCAAACAAGGAGAAAUGUGUUUGUCCCUCUUCAAAAGUUCUCGCUGGCUUGGUAAGUUGGAUGAUUUUCAGGGUCUUCUAUUUAUUUAUUUAUUUCCUCCUGGCUUUCUUGAUGCAGUAGAAGCGCCAGUCCCACUUACAGUAUGUACAGAUGUCCGUGCCUUGCUCUCAGACUCCCCGCAGGCGAACGAUGAUAAAUGAGGAGGAAAAGAAAGAUGGCUUUUAAAGAAUGACCUUAGGAAACAAACACUGCAGAAAUAGUUGCUAUGCCUGGUGUUUCGUCUGUGAAUGCCUGGGGAAAUUAACGCAUGUACAAGUGGGAAAUGCAUCCAUAUCUUUGGGCAGAGAAGACCAGAAGUUUUUGCACAGUAGCUGGCUCUUUGGGGCUGGACUUCUGCUGCUGUAUCUACGGGUUUCUUUUCUAAAAGGGAAAAGAGAUCAUUGCUGAAAGAUAUUUUAAAUGAAAUAUCAAAUACACAGUAAUUCUUAUUGCCUAAUGGUCCUCAUUUUUCUCAGUACUUGUCAGAUUUCUCCUUAGCUUGAGUGGCAAGUACCUUCUCUGUCAUACAGCAGCUGUGCUGUUGAUGGUUAACUUUUCAUGACCUCCCUCUUCUUGUUCUCUUUCUUUCUGUGAAAUAUGUUCAUAAUGUAUUUAGCCUCACUGUCUUUGGCAGUGAUUCUGAAUGGUAUUUGCCCUAGUGGGAUGGUUGCAUCAUUGGAUAUUUAUAUUUCAAAAAUAAAAACCUUGUUUGUUUCGUUAGUUCCA
rnacentral:lncRNA from 1 species